rnacentral:tRNA from 1 species
GAUGAGGUGGUCUAGCGGUUAGAACGCUGGCCUUGUAAUCCUGGGGUCCCGGGUUCGAUUCCCGGCGGUGCCA